rnacentral:misc_RNA from 1 species
AAUGCACGACUGCGUCUCUUUUUUUUUUUGCUUCUCCUUUUCUCAUUCUCGCCACCGCCACCACCACCAACAUCACCCUAUCCGCCCUCCUUAAGAGCCUCUAGCGAUCCGCUCAGCGACCGUUAAAGUGCGUGCAUACGUUGCGUCUGCCGGCCUGUGUCCGUCUUCUCUGAAACGCGCAGACGCACCCCAUCCAAUCCGCCAUGACCAACGUCUUCAAGGUCCCGGAGAAGCGCGAGGAGCUUGUCUACACGGCGAAGAUCGCCGAGCAGUGCGAACGCCACGAUGAAAUUCUCUUCUGCAUGAAGCGCGCUGUCAAGAUGAACCCGCGGCUGUCCAGCGAGGAGCGCAACCUGCUCUCUGCCGCCUACAAGUACAUUAUCAGUGCCCGCCGCGCUUGCUGGCGCAGCAUGAGCUCGAUGGCGCACAAGGAGGACAGCCACAAGGGCAAGACGGCGAGCCUCUUCAAUGGCUUCCAGCAUCAGGUGGAGAAGGAGCUGGCGGAGAUCUGCUCCGACAUUCUGGAGCUUCUGGACAAGUACCUCAUCCCAGCCGCCGACAACGACGAGAGCAAGGUGUACUACUACAAGCUCAAAGGUGACUACCACCGCUACUUUGCGGAGGUGGAGUCCGGCUCAGAUACGCAGAAGAACCUUGCCCUGGAGGCGUACAAGAAGGCGUCCGAGUUCACAACCUCGCUGAAGCCGACCUCGCCAAUCCGCCUCGGCCUCGCCCUCAACUUCUCUGUCUUCUACUACGAGAUUCUGCGCAGUCCCGACAAGGGCUGCCAGCUCGCUCGCCAGGCCUUCGAGGAGGCCCUAAGCGAUCCGGAGGUGCUAGAUGAGGAGCAGCACAAGGAGUCAGCUCUCAUCAUGCAGCUGCUGCGCGACAACCUCGCUCUCUGGACGGAGGACUCUCGCCCGGAAGGCCAGGAUGAUGAAACAGCCAUGGAGGAGCUUGAGUAAAAGGCCGAUACACACAAACGCACUCGCGCGCACGCAAGGAAAGCGACGACGUUGUAGAUGGAGCGGCGUCCGUGUAAAUAGGGAGAGGAAGAGGGUGUGCUGGUGGUAUUUGGGUGGGGAAGGUGGGCGCAGACACCCACACACCCGUGUGCCGCCCUCGCUCUUUACCUAUUCCGCUGCAAGCUUCUUCGACUCCCUCGCUCGCCGCUCUCACGCGCGUCUCAUAUCUCCUUCAACGUGCGUGUGUGUGUGUGUGUGUGUGUGUGUGUGUGUGCACGUGUGUGUGUGUGCACGUGUGUGUGUGUGUGUGUGUGUAUGUGUGUGUGUGUGUGUGUGUGUGUGUGUGUGUGUGUGUGUCAAAGUCUGUGCGUUUGUGUACGUGCUCCACUGUUGUUGGUUCUUCUCCGACCACCCCACCACCCUCUUUUCGUGAUGCCUGCGGGCCCCCGCCUUCCUCCCUCCCUCCCUCCCGUGAAGACGGAUGGGGGCGGGAGGGAGGGAGAGAGGCGCGGCUGCGAAACCGGGUACAAGUCGCGUUGCUUUCCAUUUAUUUUUGUUUCUUUUUUUCGUUUAUUUCGUCAUGUAUGUACGGCCCAGCGACAUCUCCUGCACAGGCGCGCGCGCGUGCGUGUGCGGGCGUCUCGCCUCUCUUCCCCUCCUCCCACUUGUAUGUUCUUUAGGCGUUUCUUACCGCCCCGCGCCGCCCCUCUUUUCGAUGGCUGCACAGCGGUGUGCCCGUCUGCAAGAGCCGUAUAUCGCGUACGUGCGUUCCUUUUUUGUUUGUUUUGGAUGCGUAGAGGUGAGGGUGUUGGUAGUGUGGCGGGGUGGAAGAGGGAGAGUGCAGUUGUGCCGUGGCUCUGUUGUCUGAGUUCUUGUUUUACAUUCUCGUUGUGGUGUAGUUUCUUAUUAUUCUGCCUCCAUGCUGAUGCUCAUCGUGAUGUGUCCUCCUGAUGCGUGUGCGCGCGUGUUCGUCUGAGUGAUGCCCGCAUCCGCCUAAAGCCUCGAUCGGCGUUUGGAUGUCGGCUUGUGCUCGUGUGGAAGGGCGGCGAAAAAGGCAAAAAGAGGGACGUAUACGAAUACGGCUCGAAAGACGGCAGGGCAGGUGGCAACGAUGGUGAUGGAUGGCAUAGAGAAGGAAGGGAGGGACGGAGGGCCGGCGGCAGCGGCGGCAAGAAAAGAGGGCUAAGAGAGCAAACCGGCGCAGGCCCGUGCGUGGAUGACGAGCAAACAAGAAUUCUAAAGCAGAGGUAGAAGAAGCUCCUCUCAGCGAUGCGAAAAAGAAAAGGUGGGAAAGAUGGCGUUGCCUUUCAGAUGUGCAGCACUUUGUGUGCGUGUGUGUGCAUCUGCUGUGCGUGCCGCCUUGGUGUGCUCUCCCGUGUGCUCUCUGCUGCCACCUCUCGCCCUCUCGCCAUCCCUCGUCAAGCUUGGUCGAACUCGUGCACGGCCCUCUGCCCAGCAUUG